AGAGUUUGAUCAUGGCUCAGGAUGAACGCUAGCGGGAGGCUUAAUACAUGCAAGUCGAGCGGCAAGGUCUUCGGACCCUAGAGCGGCGCACGGGUGAGUAACGCGUACGCAAUCUGCCCUUCAGUGAGGAAUAGCCCUGGGAAACUGGGAUUAAUACCUCAUAAUAUUAUUUGUUCGCAUGGAUGAAUAAUUAAAGUUCUGGCGCUGAAGGAUGGGCGUGCGUCUGAUUAGCUAGUUGGUAGGGUAACGGCCUACCAAGGCUACGAUCAGUAGGGGGCGUGAGAGCGUGACCCCCCACACGGGUACUGAGACACGGACCCGACUCCUACGGGAGGCAGCAGUAAGGAAUAUUGGGCAAUGGAGGCAACUCUGACCCAGCCAUCCCGCGUGAAGGAUUAAGGCCCUAUGGGUUGUAAACUUCUUUUGUUUGGGAAGAAAUCAGGACAUUCAUGUGCUGUUGACGGUACCUUACGAAUAAGCACCGGCUAACUCCGUGCCAGCAGCCGCGGUAAUACGGAGGGUGCAAGCGUUAUCCGGAAUCACUGGGUUUAAAGGGUGCGUAGGCGGUUUGAUAAGUCAGAGGUGAAAGCUAGCAGCUUAACUGUUAAAUUGCCUUUGAUACUGUCAGACUUGAAUCAAGUUGAGGUAGGCGGAAUGUGACAUGUAGCGGUGAAAUGCAUAGAUAUGUCAUAGAACACCAAUUGCGUAGGCAGCUUGCUGGGCUUGAAUUGACGCUGA
rnacentral:rRNA from 1 species